rnacentral:ncRNA from 2 species
UUAAAAACUAUGACUUGGUAAAGUAGAGUAUAUAUAGUAUUACAGAGAGGAUUCCAGCUGGUGGAAGGAAUCUAUACUAGUGUAUUCGAAGUGCACCAAGGAGUUUUUAGUCGAAACUUCAGUAGACUUAAACGGUAGUUCCCGUUAUAGAACUAGAGUAUGUUAGUACUCGAAUAGAGAUGGGAUCAUGUCCCAAACAGAGUGGAACCGCGAAAGUAACCUUUUGCCUCUGUA